rnacentral:lncRNA from 1 species
CAAUAACAGCCUAACUGCUUCCUCUGGAAUAAAUUAUUCCUCGUUCAAAAACCUCAUCCUAAAUAAUUUAAAAUUUACUGCAGGUUGCUUUAAUAUUAUGUCUACUCACAAGGCAUUGUGCUGAGGCUGGCAGGAGUCAGUGGCGAACCGUUUAAACCUUGGGGUGGACUACCCUCUCUUCCUGGGAGAGUUUAUUGCCCAACAAUGCAUAAUCUAUUAGUCGCUCCUCGCGGGGGAUCCAGAAAGUGACAUCUUGACUUGAACCAGCACGCAGAUCGGAAAGCCACUUCGAAGGAAACCUUGUAGAGAAGAGGAGCAACUUUCUAAUUCCUGUCAAACUAAGAGGCGGAACCAAGCCCAGAAGUAGCCUCAAGGCCUGGAGAGAGCAGAGCAGAGAGCCUACUCCACACUCCAGCCAAGGCUCAAGAAAGGCUUUGCUUCUGGAGGCGGCAUUGUUCCUCCAUCCGCUCAGCCUCCGCGUCUCCCCUCCGCGGACUCUCAGAAUCACUGCCUUUCUAGGGUACCUCUCCGCCGACCUCCGGGAUCUGGGUGCCUGGGUCCCAAGGCGCACCCAAGCAGGCUCACUGCAGAGGCUGGGGCGCCGCUCCGAAGACUAGGAGCCUCCGCACGAGUCCGCCCCAACCAGGGCAGCGCGCAGCGCACACUCAGUGUCUCACUCCUCUCGGCUUCCCUGGCUCCCACGGACUCGGCUGGCCUCUCACCACCCACUCGGGUUCGCCUUUCCUGCCUUGGCUUCCCACACCAGCUCCGCACCGCCGCCACAGCCGCGUCCCGACGCUCCGAACCCUAGCAGGCCGGGAUGAAGGGAUGCCAGGGUCAGGGAUGCACCCGAAGGAGAAGAGAGGCUAAGGCGAGCCAGGGCAGGUGGGGAGUCGCGGGGUGCCGGAGAGGGCGUGCGCGAGCGAGCCCCCGAGAAAGAUGCAUGUGCUCGGCCACCGCGCUGGAAGAAGGACCGAGGGGGCAGGAUGCAACGUGGAGAACGCCCACCGCGAGGGUGCGCAAAACCGGCGAUUUGCAAAGUGCCAGGGCCAGACAGGCAGAGGGGGAGGAAGGAGGCUGGCUGAAGACCAGGAACAGAGAGAAGAGCCCACUUCUCCAUCAAAAGGUCUGUUCGGUUAACGCAUCCCCAGAGCAGGAGUUAAUCGAGGACUGGAUGCAGUGUAAAAGGUUCCAGGGAUGUCAGGAAGUUAAGCCAGACAUGCUACAUAAGAAUCAAGUCAAUGGCCUUUCUGUACACAAAGGAUAAACAGACUGAGAAAGAAAUUAGGGAAACAACACCCUUCUCAAUAGUCACAAAUAAUAUAAAAUACCUUGGCUUAACUCUAACUAAGGAAGUGAAAGAUCUGUAUGAUAAGAACUUCAAGUCUCUGAAGAAAGAAAUUAAAGAAGAUCUCAGAAGAUGGAAAGAUCUCCCAUGCUCAUGGGUUGGCAGGAUCAACAUUGUAAAAAUGGCUAUCUUGCCAAAAGCAACCUACAGAUUCAAUGCAAUCCCCAUCAAAAUUCCAACUUAAUUCUUCAACGAAUUAGAAAGGGCAAUCGGCAGAUUCAUCUGGAACAACAAAAAACCUAGGAUAGCAAAAACUCUUCUCAAGGAUAAAAGAACCUCUGGUGGAAUCACCAUGCCGGACCUAAAACUGUACUACAGAGCAAUUGUGAUCAAAACUGCAUGGUACUGGUAUAGAGACAGACAAGUAGACCGAUGGAACGGAAUUGAAGACCCAGAGAUGAACCCACACACUUAUGGUCACUUGAUCUUUGACAAGGG